GUAAAAGCGCAUGCAGGCGGCCUGUUAAGUCAGAUGUGAAAGCCCGGGGCUUAACCUCCGGAAUUGCAUUUGAAACUGGCAGGCUAGAGUCUUGUAGAGGGGGGUAGGAAGUUUCAGGUGUAGCGGUGAAAUGCGUAGAGAUCUGAAGGAAUACCAGUGGCGAAGGCGGCCCCCUGGACAAAGACUGACGCUCAGAUGCGAAAGCGUGGGGAGCAAACAGGAUUAGAUACCCUGGUAG
rnacentral:rRNA from 1 species